rnacentral:pre_miRNA from 1 species
AAUAAAUUCAUUUGUCAGUUUUUUGAUACAAUAUUUUGACUUUUCGUCUUAUUUAAAAAAUUUUUACGAUUAAUAUUUUUGUUGUUACUAGAUGAUAAAAUAUAAAUAAUACUUUAUGCGUGACUAAUUUUUUAAAUAAGACGCAUGGUCAAACGUUGGACACGGAAAAAC